CCCUUAGAUGUUCUGGGCCGCACACGCGCUACACUGAAGGAGGCAGCGUGUACUCCUGGAUCGAAAGAUUUGGGUAACCCGCGAAUCUCCUUCGUGCUAGGGAUUGAGGUUUGCAAUUAUCCUUCAUGAACGAGGAAUUCCCAGUAAGUGCAAGUCAUAAGCUUGCGCUGACUACGUCCCUGCCCUUUGUACACACCGCCCGUCGCUACUACCGAUUGAAUGGUCCGGUGAAGCCUCGGGAUUGUGGUUCUUGCCGCUUUAUUGUGGCGUGACCGCGAGAACUUGUCUAAACCUUAUCAUCUAGAGGAAGGUGAAGUCGUAACA
rnacentral:rRNA from 1 species